rnacentral:rRNA from 1 species
GACAGAGGAUGCAAGCGUUAUCCGGAAUGAUUGGGCGUAAAGCGUCUGUAGGUGGCUUUUAAGUCCGCCGUCAAAUCCCAGGGCUCAACCCUGGACAGGCGGUGGAAACUACCAAGCUGGAGUACGGUAGGGCAGAGGGAAUUCCGGUGGAGCGGUGAAAUGCGUAGAGAUCGGGAGGAACACCUGUGGCGAAAGGCGGCGCACUGGACCACUUCUGACGCUGAGGCGCGAAAGGCUAGGGGAGCAAACAGG